CAGGGAAGUGCAGAAAACAGUAAGCACUGCUAAUACUUACUCACCACGGUUAAAAUCCUUGGCUUCCCUGA
rnacentral:tRNA from 1 species